rnacentral:rRNA from 1 species
GAUCAUGGCUCAGAUUGAACGCUGGCGGCAUGCCUUACACAUGCAAGUCGAACGGCAGCGGACCUUCGGGUGCCGGCGAGUGGCGAACGGGUGAGUAAUAUAUCGGAACGUACCUUUCAGUGGGGGAUAACGUAGCGAAAGUUACGCUAAUACCGCAUAUUCUGUGAGCAGGAAAGCAGGGGGAUCGCAAGACCUUGCGCUGAUUGAGCGGCCGAUAUCAGAUUAGCUAGUUGGUGAGGUAAAGGCUCACCAAGGCGACGAUCUGUAGCGGGUCUGAGAGGAUGAUCCGCCACACUGGAACUGAGACACGGACCCGACUCCUACGGGAGGCAGCAGUAAGGAAUAUUGGACAAUGGGCGCAAGCCUGAUCCAGCCAUCCCGCGUGCAGGAUGACAGCCCUACGGGUUGUAAACUGCUUUUGUUAGGGAAGAAACCCCUCGAUUUAUCGGGGGCUGACGGUACCUUUCGAAUAAGCACCGGCUAACUCCGUG